ACCAUGGUUUGAAUGUUUUUGUUUUCAUGAAUGGCCGAAUGUUGCGUCGCUAUAAAAGUUGCAGCCGCAAGGAGUUGUGGGGCGGCAUUAUCUCCUUUCCUUUGGUAAAGGAUGCUCCAGUGCAUCCUAUGCUAAAUGAGAUAAUA